rnacentral:sRNA from 1 species
GUGUUCCCAGAACCUUGCUGUGUCUGUGCCGUGUGGCUGUGAGAAGAGCUCUUGGCAAACACCGGCUUCAUCUGAUUCCUUCGCUGCCUCUGCCAGACCCCAUAAAGAAGUUUCUACUCCAUGAGUAGACUCCAAGUGCCGCGGUUGAUUCCAGCGAGGGAGAAGGUGAUCUGCGGGGAGGUGGACACCGAGCCCUGAGUGCUGUGCUGCUGCUGGUCUCCUGAUGGCUGUUGCUGCAGAAGAUGUCCUCGUAGACUGUCACUGCUCCUCAGGUGGAAGUGUUGGUCGUGUGAAAUCUUGGUAUUCGCAUUUCAAGAAGGGAGUUCUUUUUUUCUUUCUUCUUUCUAUGGAACGUUUCAAGUGAUUGGAUAGAAAGAAGGGCUCUGAAGCAGGAGUUUUCACCUGCUCUGAGGGAACUUGGGGCUCCAGGGACGUACCCCAAAUGUUGCCCAGGUUGAAACUCCCUGACAGCCUGUUCUACGUGGCUCGUGGUUUCCAGUUUGAAGAGAGUUGUGCCCCUAAAAGUGUUUGAAACCUGUGGCUUUCAAGCAAGGUACCAUUGUCCCCACAGUGUUCCGUGGGGUGGGGGGUGAUGGAGACUGUGGGCAAGCCUGUUGUUUUUGGCCCCCUGUUGUUACAUGGGACCUGUUUUGACGGUGGGAGGGUGAGAUGUGAAGAUGUGGGAUGAACCUGGCAUGA